rnacentral:rRNA from 1 species
GAUGAACGCUGGCGGCGUGCCUAAUACAUGCAAGUCGAGCGAACAGAUGAGGAGCUUGCUCCUCUGACGUUAGCGGCGGACGGGUGAGUAACACGUGGAUAACCUACCUAUAAGACUGAGAUAACUUCGGGAAACCGGAGCUAAUACCGGAUAAUAUAUUGAACCGCAUGGUUCAAUAGUGAAAGACGGUUUUGCUGUCACUUAUAGAUGGAUCCGCGCCGCAUUAGCUAGUUGGUAAGGUAACGGCUUACCAAGGCAACGAUGCGUAGCCGACCUGAGAGGGUGAUCGGCCACACUGGAACUGAGACACGGUCCAGACUCCUACGGGAGGCAGCAGUAGGGAAUCUUCUGCAAUGGGCGAAAGCCUGACGGAGCAACGCCGCGUGAGUGAUGAAGGUCUUCGGAUCGUAAAACUCUGUUAUUAGGGAAGAACAAAUGUGUAAGUAACUAUGCACGUCUUGACGGUACCUAAUCAGAAAGCCACGGCUAACUACGUG